UGCUUCUAAGCGGCCAACUUUUCUUCUCUAAGCGACUGAAUAAAGCACUUGACGCAGAGCAGGUUCAUGAAUCAAAUGUAAACAAACUUGACCUCACAGACGCAGGACAAGCACGUUAGGAGACAUUUUCAGUGACGGGACAUGACAAAGGUUGCCCUUUGCGUGGCGCUAUGCUUAAACUAAUGCUCUGAUGUGCCAUGCUGUGAGCACAAAAGACAAACAUGAUGUGCUCACCUUCACACCCUAGAUGGAAAAGAAGAAACAUACAUUGCUACAUUGUGCAUCGGCACAAAAAGGGAGAACAGAAGCAUCUGUGAACAAGGACCAGCUAGUACUGCCGGACCUCCCCGUGAACUCGAGAGCGGCAUGUCCAAACUUGGCCACAAGGUGAUGCAGACGGUCGCACCGACUGAUGAGACAAAGUUCAUCUCAACCUUUUCAGACAAUAGCGAGUGAAAAAGCUUGUUUGCCGUGAUGCUCCGUUGCAGAAGGACCCUCGGGUGUCAGACAGACUCCAUUUGAGCGAGCGGCAACAGUGAGUGUGACAACAAGGAAGUCAAACGACUCCUCCAGAGCUCCUCACCACUUGAAUGAUUUUGCAGAUGGAGAGAAGGGGAAAAAAAAAAUGGUGGACUCUGCAUCAAGCAUGUCCUCACCUUGGCCGAAUGUUUCACACCUUGGUGGAUGCACCCUCGCACCCUCAGAUGUGAUUUUUUUGGAGGAUCUCCCCCCUGUGCAGGCCUCCAUGAUUCAUUCACCACAGACAUCUUAAAGUCUCCCCUCCCCCCCAAGCCGCUGGAGCUUGAGGGAAGACUCAACUGAGGGAAGGAAUGAAGCUCAUGUGGAAUCUCCAUAGCCAAAGGCUUGUUUCAAGUCGAGGUCCUGCACCCCUGGUGGUCGGAAGGGGGAGAGAGAUGAGCGCCGUGCCGUCCUGGGUGUGUUGAGGCACGUGUCCUGCGAUUGCCCGUUGAGCGAAUCCCCCCAUUUCGGCUGCAAUAAAGUCUGCAAUUGCCAAAGAGAGGCAAUAUUGGAAAUCAGCUGCACGUUCAACAUCCAUUUUCUGCAGCGUGUUAUCUUUGACCUGGAGUCCAUGCCAGUUGACAUAAGACAAAGCAUUGGCCCGUCCGCCGGCCGUUGUCCCUUUUGCUUCAUGAGUGAGACAGCAGCAUCCUCUUCUGGUUGAAAUGUUGAACAAAUGCGCUGGAUGCAUUUUCUCCUCCUCUUGCAUACACGACGCGGUAGUGUCGUUUUUUUGUUCUUGUUCGAGUCGUUACACUUGAACGCAAGUUGUCAAACACGCCCCUUUGUGUCCAUUUCAAAUGACCUUUCUCGGUGCCGUACAACUUCCGGUUCACUGAGCCAGGUCUUCGAGUGACCUGAGCAGGUAAUGUAAACAUUUUCAAGCUUUCUAGUUGCCGUUUAUCUGUAAAUACGUGUAUGUACACAAUUUAGGGACUUAAUUACGAGCUUCUCGAUUUUGUUAUUACUUCACUUGAAGCUCGCUAGCUAUUGUAAAACAAUAACAAAGGUGGCUUGUUGUUAGCUAGCACGCCCACAAGUGGCACUCAGCUGUCAAUCAUUCGUGAAUCAACGAAAGCGUUUGACUUCAACGUUGUUUUGUAUGUUUUCCACGCUAAAGCUAAUGUGGAAUCUCCACGUCGGCUGCUGGUCGUCUACCUGCACGUCUCACCGCCAAAUGUUCUCCUAAGGAUAGGAGAGGUUUGGGGCCCAACGGUGCAGCCAGCCAACAGCUUCGUGGGACCUGCUAUUGGACAUGUGAUAGUAAACAUUCAGUCAUAAACAAGUUACAAGUUGGAUGGCAGUCUGCUCGUUGCCGUGUGGUGGUUGGCCAGUGGACAAUCAGUGUGGACCUAAAACAAAAAGUGGUCGGUCGGCCAGUAGGAUGUGGACAAGUCAGCGUGUGGACCUAAGACAAAAAGAGAUCUUAAUUGGGCUCCAGCACCUUGUGGAUGAGGAAGCAACAAGAAAACUUCAAGCGUUGUUGCAGGAGACUCUUGGGACUUCACCCUGGACACAA